ACGGAAGGCAGCAGUAGGGAAUCUUCCGCAAUGGACGAAAGUCUGACGGAGCAACGCCGCGUGAGUGAUGAAGGCUUUCGGGUCGUAAAACUCUGUUGUUAGGGAAGAACAAGUGCUAGUUGAAUAAGCUGGCACCUUGACGGUACCUAACCAGAAAGCCACGGCUAACUACGUGCCAGCAGCCGCGGUAAUACGUAGGUGGCAAGCGUUAUCCGGAAUUAUUGGGCGUAAAGCGCGCGCAGGUGGUUUCUUAAGUCUGAUGUGAAAGCCCACGGCUCAACCGUGGAGGGUCAUUGGAAACUGGGAGACUUGAGUGCAGAAGAGGAAAGUGGAAUUCCAUGUGUAGCGGUGAAAUGCGUAGAGAUAUGGAGGAACACCAGUGGCGAAGGCGACUUUCUGGUCUGUAACUGACACUGAGGCGCGAAAGCGUGGGGAGCAAACAGGAUUAGAUACCCUGGUA
rnacentral:rRNA from 1 species